ACCCGCUGAACUUAAGCAUAUCAAUAAGCGGAGGAAAAGAAACUAACAAGGAUUCCCCUAGUAACUGCGAGUGAAGCGGGAAAAGCUCAAAUUUAAAAUCUGGCAGUCUUUGGCUGUCCGAGUUGUAAUCUAGAGAAGUGUUAUCUGCGCUGGACCGUGUACAAGUCUCCUGGAAUGGAGCGUCAUAGAGGGUGAGAAUCCCGUCUUUGACACGGACUACCAGGGCUUUGUGAUGCGCUCUCAAAGAGUCGAGUUGUUUGGGAAUGCAGCUCAAAAUGGGUGGUAAAUUCCAUCUAAAGCUAAAUAUUGGCGAGAGACCGAUAGCGAACAAGUACCGUGAGGGAAAGAUGAAAAGAACUUUGGAAAGAGAGUUAAACAGUACGUGAAAUUGCUGAAAGGGAAACGCUUGAAGUCAGUCGCGUUGUCCAGGGAUCAACCUUGCUUUUGCUUGGUGCAUUUCCUGGUUGACGGGUCAGCGUCAAUUUUGAUUAUUGGAAAAAGAUUAAGGGAAUGUGGCAUCUUUGGAUGUGUUAUAGCCCUUGGUUGCAUACAAUAGUUGGGAUUGAGGAACUCAGCACGCCGCAAGGCCAGGUUUUUAACCAUGUACGUGCUUAGGAUGCUGGCAUAAUGGCUUUAAUCGACCCGUCUUGAAACACGGACCAAGGAGUCUAACAUGCCUGCGAGUGUUUGGGUGGAAAACCCGAGCGCGCAAUGAAAGUGAAAGUUGAGAUCCCUGUCGUGGGGAGCAUCGACGCCCGGACCAGACCUUUUGUGACGGUUCCGCGGUAGAGCAUGUAUGUUGGGACCCGAAAGAUGGUGAACUAUGCCUGAAUAGGGUGAAGCCAGAGGAAACUCUGGUGGAGGCUCGUAGCGAUUCUGACGUGCAAAUCGAUCGUCAAAUUUGGGUAUAGGGGCGAAAGACUAAUCGAACCAUCUAGUAGCUGGUUCCUGCCGAA
rnacentral:rRNA from 1 species